AACAAACAAGUGUUGUGAUCCGAUCUAACAGGCGGCAAGGUGCAGCGAUACCUAUUUAGGAUGUUUAAUUUUCCGGAAAUUAAGCAUCACCGGAUGCGAAAAAUAAGCUUCCGUCGUAUUCCGUAGGAGGUCCUACUCGGUUAGGUUCAGCUGAGCAGCAACUGUGUGAAAACUUCUUGGGGUAACCGAGGAUCCAUCUCACCUAGUGAUUCAAAAACUGAAGGUUCUGGUUAUAAGGUGAUUUCUAAAAUGACAGAACCUGAUAAACAUCCAGCACAAUUCGUCGUUAUCACAGAUUGGGACAAAGUUCAUGGAACAUGGUAUCCUGCCAGAUGCUCUCAGACGAAACCAUCAAACCAAGACGAAUACCUACAUAUAUCGAUGAGGUCCAAACCGGAGUACUUCAAGCAGUGACAGGGAAUAUGUUACUGACAUCUAUUUUAGUGGUCACUACAUCAUCGGGAAGAAUAUCUUCAAAAUAGAAUCGAAAUUCCAGGUCAACGGAUCUUGUACUCGUAUCUUGUACUACGUAGAUCUUGUACUCGGGUAGUCAAGCAUUAAAAAUCUUAAGCAGCUAUUAGAAUUGACAAAUUGGCCAGAAUGUGUUUUUGUGAUAUGGAUAUAUUUAUAUAUUUUUUAUUACCGUACGGGUUUGCGUUGAAGGUCUCAAAUUAACAAAAUUCCAAUAAAGCAUAGCUUUGAU